rnacentral:rRNA from 1 species
UUGUGUUCUUGAAACUUAUAAAAUUUGGCGGUAUCCUACUCCGUUCAGAGGAAUCUGUCUCGUUAUCGAUAGUCCGCGUUGGACCUUACUUAGGGUUAGUUUUGGUUUGUAUACCGCCGUUUAUUGAUUAUCUUUUUAGAGUAUCAUGAAUUUUCUGGUUUCUUUAAUUUGAUUUAUUGCAGGUCAAGGUGCAGCUUUUUCUAAGUGUAAUGAUGGAUUACAGUGUUAUGUGUUGUUUGGAUUGUUUAUUUUAAUAUUGGCAUGAAAUUGGAUUUGGUUGUAAUGUUUUGUAGAUUGUUUUCAUGAUAGUUGGUUCUAGGAUAUGUACACAUCGCCCGUCGCUCUCAUUUAAGUUUUUGAUGAGAUAAGUCGUAACAUAGUAA